ACGAACGCUGGCGGCGUGCUUAACACAUGCAAGUCGAACGGAAAGGCCCUGCUUUUGUGGGGUGCUCGAGUGGCGGACGGGUGAGUAACACGUGAGUAACCUGCCCUUGACUUUGGGAUAACUUCAGGAAACUGGGGCUAAUACCGGAUAGGAGCUCCUGCUGCAUGGUGGGGGUUGGAAAGUUUCGGCGGCUGGGGAUGGACUCGCGGCUUAUCAGCUUGUUGGUGGGGUAGUGGCUUACCAAGGCUUUGACGGGUAGCCGGCCUGAGAGGGUGACCGGCCACAUUGGGACUGAGAUACGGCCCAGACUCCUACGGGAGGCAGCAGUGGGGAAUAUUGCACAAUGGGCGGAAGCCUGAUGCAGCAACGCCGCGUGCGGGAUGACGGCCUUCGGGUUGUAAACCGCUUUCGCCUGUGACGAAGCGUGAGUGACGGUAAUGGGUAAAGAAGCACCGGCUAACUACGUG
rnacentral:rRNA from 1 species